rnacentral:sRNA from 1 species
UCCUGAAUUGAGAAGGAUUUGAAUUUUCUAUUACAAUUUCAAUCAUAGUUGAUCAUUGAUAUCUCAAAUGACAAGAAUAUCCGACUUUUCACAUGUUUGAAGAUGAUGGACUUUGUUCAAGACCACAUGAUAAUUAUAAUAGAAGUUGAACCUUAUUGACCCUUAUAAAUAAGCUAUAUAUGUAAACAUAUACAUGUGAGAUUGGUAAACAUGUGAAUGUUGGUGGGUGAAAUGCUAAUAUGCUUGAAUGGCAUAAUCCUUGCAUAUGAGAAAACUAAAAGCAAACCAAUUAUCAGGCUGUAAUUGGGUCCACACUUUUGGCUCUCCACAAUUAUUGCCAAGUCUUAUAUCUUUUGUAUAUAUAACAGUUUCAAAAGUGCAUUUGAGUUUGGGAAUGUUGUGCUGUUUUUUGUUUUGUAAUGCAAAUUUGUAUAUGUUUUCUUUUCGUUAACUUUGACCAACGCCAAUGUUUAUCUUCUUUUUCUGGUCAUUAAAAGUCCUUUAGGUUAACAAACGAAUUAGGGUCUGUUUGUUUCAUCAUUUAUCAUUUCCAUUCAAAUGAUUCACUUACAUGAUUUAUUUGAAUAAUACAUUUAAAUGAUAUGUUUCAUUAUUUGUAAUUUA